UUAUAUUUUUCAGCAUCACAAAAUCUUCUAAUAAUUCCUGCUCAUAUUGUCCUGAAUAUUACCGUAGCUUCAAUUUGCAAUAUUGAAUUAGCGACACAUCUUUAGCAGAUGAACAUUCAAAAACAGCCAAGAUAUUCAAAACUAAAUCCCUGUGAAUGAUCCUACCCUGAAUACCUGAAAUCCUGGAUUUGCACCUAAUUGAACAAUUAAUUGAAUAUUAUUCAUCAAAUCCUCAUAGAUUACUUGUUGACGUAUCACAAUUAACUUUUAUCAUUCUUUUUACUGCAUUCUCUGACGUGUUUUCCAUAAAUCCAUACGUAUCUUCGUUUUUUUAAAUUGAUUUCCUUUGCAAGUCAGCAUAUGAUUUUUACACAAGAGUGUCUCAUAUUCACAGAAUAAACGAUUCCAAAUACUUAUAUUUCAGAAUCAUUAACGUUAUUACAAGAACGUGAAUGUUAUAUUAUUUAAAAGAUUUUCACAUAUGUUUCAUAACCUCGAAAACAAACUGUUACGCGCAAGGAUUAGAAUAAAUACAUGAUUUAGACGUUGAUUCACUCUAAACUUACCAUCAACUGAAUGUUACUCGGUUUCCCGAAAAUCUGUCAGUUCACUUUAAAUGCAAUACGAUGAAAGGUAUUUUCUUUCAUACCAAGAAAGAAAUGCUAUAUACAACCAUUCAUAACUUUACAUAUCCCGACAUUUAACAACUUGCCAAAUAAUUCAGACAUCAAUAUGUUACUACGGAAUAAAAUAUAUACACUCUCCAAUACAAGAUAACAAGAAAAGUCAUCAUAUGUCACAGCACAAAUUGCUCGAAAGAGGGUCGAUUAUAAAACGAUAAGUGCAAAACAUUACAAGGUUGAUCUAGCCGAUAUAUAUAUAUAU